UUAUUCUGGGCUUCUAGCCAACAUUUCUAAAGAUUUUGCAUUCAUAAAAUUUUGUUUCUAGACAAAAAAACACAAAAAUGCCGCCGCAGCCCUCAGCAGUUGCAACUGUGAAACCCCACAGACCUUACUUCUUCUACGGUCACCGGAAACCCACCCAGAACCGCCCCACCGUCCGUGGCGGCCUCUUCUCCAACCGCCAGACCAUUAACCCCGCCACCAACGCCCAGCCUACUCCAUAUGAUCCACUCGACUUCGACCUCCGGAAAUGGGACCCGGAUGCACAUUCUCGACCCGCCAGAGACCCAUCUCAAGAGUUCUUCUCUGUGGCAAAGACUCUCUCCCCCAUUGCUAGGUAUAUUGUUGACUCCUUCAGAAAGCAUGGCCGCUGGGGCCCACUGGUGGUCGAAGACCUGAAUCGCCUUCGCCGGGUUACUCCCAAACUUGUGACUGAGAUUCUCAAGAUCCCAAAUAUUGACCCAAGGCUCUCCUCCAAGUUCUUCUAUUGGGCUGGAAAGCAAAAGGGUUAUAGGCAUGAGUUUGCUUGCUAUAAUGCCUUUGCUUAUAGCUUGAAUCGGACAAAUCAAUUUCGGGCUGCAGACCAGAUACCUGAGCUAAUGCAUAUGCAGGGGCAACCACCUACCGAGAAACAGUUUGAAAUUUUAAUUAGAAUGCACUCUGAUGCAAAUAGGGGUCUUCGAGUGUACUAUGUGUAUGAGAAAAUGAAGAAAUUUGACAUCAAACCAAGAGUAUUCCUCUAUAAUAGGAUAAUGGAUGCCUUGGUUAAAACAAACCAUUUAGAUUUGGCAUUGUCGGUUUAUGAUGAUUUCAGAAGGGAUGGAUUAGUGGAGGAGACUGUUACCUUUAUGGUACUGAUAAAGGGUUUAUGCAAGUCAGGGCAAGUGAAUGAAGCGAUUGAGCUUUUGGACCGAAUGAGGAAGAAUCUAUGCAAACCAGACGUUUUUGCUUACACAGCAAUGGUGAAGGUGCUUGUUUCAGAGGGAAAUCUGGAUGGGUGUUCAAGAUUUUGGGAAGAAAUGAAGAGGGAUGGGAUUGAACCAGAUGUUAUGGCUUAUGGCACUUUCAUCACCGGGUUGUGCAAAGGAAAUCAGUUAGAGAAAGGGUACGAGUUGUUUGAGGAGAUGAAAGAGAAGAAGUAUUUGAUUGAUAGGGCUAUAUAUGGAUCUUUGAUAGAAGCAUUUGUUACAAGCGGGAAGGUUGGUUCUGCUUGUGAUUUACUUAAGGAUAUGAUGAAUUCUGGUUACAGGGCCGAUUUAGCAAUAUAUAACUGUCUCAUAGAAGGUCUGUGCAACCAUCGGCUGGUUGAUAGGGCUUAUAAACUUCUCAGAGUCACAGUUGAAGAGGAUCUCCAACCCGACUUUUUCACUGUGGGCCCCAUCCUGCUAUCUUAUGCCGAGUCAAAAAGAAUGGAUGACUUCAUCAGUUUGCUCGAGCAAAUGCAGAAAUUGGGUUUUCGUAUUAGGGACAAUCUAUCCGAAUUCUUUUCCAUUAUGGUGAAAAAGGACAAUGGCAUAAUGCUUGCUUGGGAACUUUUUGAAGAGUUGAAACUCAAAUAUGAUUGCAGUGUUCAAACUUAUAAUGUUCUCAUGGAGGCACUACACAGUAUUGGGAAGGUGGAUGAGGCUCUAAAACUUUUCCAAGAAUUAAACGAUAAAAAGUUUCACUGUGAUUCAUUGACCUAUAGCAUUGCAAUUCAGUGCUUCAUUGAAAUCAAUGAUAUUCACGAGGCAUGUACCUGCUAUAACCGGUUAAGAGAGAUGUCCUUGGUUCCUUCUACUUUGGCAUAUUAUUCACUCGUUAAGAAACUUUGCAAGAUAGGAGAGAUUGAUGCUGCUAUGAUGCUAAUACGCGAUUGUUUAGCGAAUGUUACAAAUGGGCCCAUGGAAUUCAAAUAUACACUAACAAUUAUCCAUGCCAGCAAAACUAAUGAUGCUGAAAAGGUUGUUGAAGUUCUAAGUGAAAUGAUUGAACAGGGUUAUCCUCCUAAUAACAUCAUAUAUUGCGCUAUUAUUUGUGGCAUGUGUACGCAUGGAACAAUUGAAGAGGCGAGGAAAGUCUUUACGGCUAUGAGGGUCCGCAAACUUCUCACUGAAGCUGAGGUAGUUGUUUACGAUGAGCUACUUAUCGAGCAAAUGAAAAAGAAAACAGCAGAUUUGGUGUUAUGCGGUUUGAAGUUUUUUGGUCUGGAGAGGAAGUUAAAAGCAAAAGGCAGUAAAAUCUUACUGGAUUGAGACAAAUAUCAGGUAUUAGAGCAAAUGAACUUUUGUUGUCCCGGAGAUGUCAUCCGCCACUCAUCAGUUUUGCUCAACACUUGAUAGCCUUCUCUCAAUCGCCCUUCAGCCUUCAGUCCUUCACCCCAGGCCAUUCAGCGUCGGGAUAGGCAAAUAUUACAAUGCCACCAAGCAGAGCCAAUCCGAGUCCUAAACCGUUUACAACCAUGGAUUCUGUACAACGCUUCAGUAACGCCCCGUUCGUCUGCAGGAAGGUCAACUUCUCGAGAAGGCCAGUCUCGGCUGUCACCACUGCCAACCCGUAUGUGUAGAGGCCGAGAAAUACAUGCCAUGGGAGGACUUGUAUCCUCGUCGUUCGCAACUCUCCUCGGUGCCAAAAGCUUAGGAAACCAACCAUCCACUGCACAGAAGAGGUGGAACUAGCAUUAGUAAAAUUUGUCAUUUGGCACAAAAUGUUUCUUUUAAACAAAAUCAUCCUUAGCCAAGACUACUUGUAAAGACCAAAUUUUGCCUACCCAAGGUAGGAGGUAAGGAAGGUUCCAUUCUUGAAA